rnacentral:rRNA from 1 species
UUUCCGGUUGAUCCUGCCGGACCUGACUGCUAUCGGAUUGAUACUAAGCCAUGCGAGUCUUUGUAGUAAUACAAGGCAUACGGCUCAGUAACGCGUAGUCAACCUACCCUAUGGACAAGAAUAAUCUCGGGAAACUGAGCAUAAUUCUUGAUAGAUCAUAAUGCCUGGAAUGGUAUAUGGUUAAAAUGAUUCGUCGCCAUAGGAUGGGACUGCGGCCUAUCAGCUUGUUGGUGAGGUAAUGGCCCACCAAGGCGAUUACAGGUACGGGCUCUGAGAGGAGAAGCCCGGAGAUGGGUACUGAGACAAGGACCCAGGCCCUAUGGGGCGCAGCAGGCGAGAAAACUUUGCAAUGUGCGAAAGCACGACAAGGUUAGUCCGAGUGAUUUCUGCUAAAGAGAUCUUUUGCUAGUUAUAAAACCACUAGUGAAUAAGGGGUGGGCAAGUUCUGGUGUCAGCCGCCGCGGUAAAACCAGCACCUCAAGUGGUCAGGAUGAUUAUUGGGCCUAAAGCAUCCGUAGCCGGCUCUGUAAGUUUUCGGUUAAAUCUAUGCGCUCAACGUAUGGGCUGCCGAAAAUACUGUAGAGAUAGGGAGUGGGAGAGGUAGACGGUACUCGGUAGGAAGGGGUAAAAUCCUUUGAUCUAUCGAUGACCACCUGUGGCGAAGGCGGUCUACCAGAACACGUUCGACGGUGAGGGAUGAAAGCUGGGGGAGCAAACCGGAUUAGAUACCCGGGUAGUCCCAGCUGUAAACGAUGCAGACUCGAUGAUGCAUUGGCAUAUAGCCAGUGCAGUGUCGCAGGGAAGCCGUUAAGUCUGCCGCCUGGGAAGUACGUACGCAAGUAUGAAACUUAAAGGAAUUGGCGGGGGAGCACCACAAGGGGUGAAGCCUGCGGUUCAAUUGGAUUCAACGCCGGAA